rnacentral:rRNA from 1 species
GAUGAACGCUGGCGGCGUGCCUAAUACAUGCCAGUCGAGCGAACAGAUGAGGAUCUUGCUCCUCUGACGUUAGCGGCGGACGGGUGAGUAACACGUGGAUAACCUACCUAUAAGACUGGGAUAACUUCGGGAAACCGGAGCUAAUACCGGAUAAUAUAUUGAACCGCAUGGUUCAAUAGUGAAAGACGGUUUUGCUGUCACUUAUAGAUGGAUCCGCGCCGCAUUAGCUAGUUGGUAAGGUAACGGCUUACCAAGGCGACGAUGCGUAGCCGACCUGAGAGGGUGAUCGGCCACACUGGAACUGAGACACGGUCCAGACUCCUACGGGAGGCAGCAGUAGGGAAUCUUCCGCAAUGGGCGAAAGCCUGACGGAGCAACGCCGCGUGAGUGAUGAAGGUCUUCGGAUCGUAAAACUCUGUUAUUAGGGAAGAACAAAUGUGUAAGUAACUAUGCACGUCUUGACGGUACCUAAUCAGAAAGCCACGGCUAACUACGUG